rnacentral:rRNA from 1 species
UCAAUCUAACCUAUGGACGGGGAUAACCUCGGGAAACUGAGGAUAAUACCCGAUAGAUCAUAAUGCCUGGAACGGUUUAUGGUCCAAAUGAUUCGUCGCCGUAGGGUGGGACUGCGGCCUAUCAGCUUGUUGGUGAGGUAAUGGCCCACCAAGGCUAUUACAGGUACGGGCUCUGAGAGGAGAAGCCCGGAGAUGGGUACUGAGACACGGACCCAGGCCCUAUGGGGCGCAGCAGGCGAGAAACCUUUGCAAUGUGCGCAAGCACGACAAGGUUAAUCCGAGUGUUUCCUGCUAAAGGAAUCUUUUGUUAGUUCUAAAACCACUAUUGAAUAAGGGGUGGGCAAGUCCUGGUGUCAGCCGCCGCGGUAAAACCAGCACCUCAAGUGGUCAGGAUGAUUAUUGGGCCUAAAGCAUCCGUAGCCUGUUUUGUAAGUUUCCGGUUAAAUCCAUUAGCUCAACUAAUGGGCUGCCGAAAAUACUGCAAAACUAGUGGAGUGGGAGAGGUAGACGGUACUCGGUAGGAAGGGGUAAAAUCCUUUGAUCUAUUGAUGACCACCUGUGGCGAAGGCGGUCUACCAGAACACGUUCGACGGUGAGGGAUGAAAGCUGGGGGAGCAAACCGGAUUAGAUACCCGGGUAGUCCCAGCUGUAAACGAUGCAGACUCGGUGAUGCCCUGGCUUGUGGCCAGUGCAGUGCCGCAGGGAAGCCGUUAAGUUUGCCGCCUGGGAAGUACGUACGCAAGUAUGAAACUUAAAGGAAUUGGCGGGGGAGCACCACAAGGGGUGAAGCCUGCGGUUC